GUCUGGUAAUCGGUGGACGAUUGGUAUAACCUGUUGGUUUUUGACAGCAACGACCUGGGUUCGAAACCCGGAUUGGACA